CCUACGGGUGGCAGCAGUGAGGAAUAUUGGUCAAUGGGCGGGAGCCUGAACCAGCCAAGUCGCGUGAGGGAAGACGGUCCUAUGGAUGGUAAACCUCUUUAGGCGGGGAGCAAGGCCGGGCACGCGUGCCCGGAGGGAGAGGACCCGCAGAAGAAGCAGCGGCAAACUCCGGGCCAGCAGCCGCGGUAAUACGGAGGAUGCGAGCGUUAGCCGGAUUGAUUGGGUUGAAGGGGUGCGUAGGCGGAUUUUUAAGUCAGCGGUAAAAUGUCCGGGCUCAACCCGGGCCGGCCGUUGAAACUGGGGGUCUUGAGUGGGCGCGAGGUAUGCGGAAUGCGUGGUGUAGCGGUGAAAUGCAUAGAUAUCACGCAGAACUCCGAUUGCGAAGGCAGCAUACCGGCGCCCGACUGACGCUGAGGCACGAAAGCGUGGGGAUCGAACAGGAUUAGAUACCCUUGUAGUC
rnacentral:rRNA from 1 species